UACAGAGGGUGCAAGCGUUAAUCGGAGUUACUGGGCGUAAAGGGCGCGUAGGCGGUUUUUUAAGUUGGAUGUGAAAUCCCUGGGCUUAACCUAGGAACUGCAUUCAAAACUGGAAGACUAGAGUACUGUAGAGGGUAGUGGAAUUUCCGGUGUAGCGGUGAAAUGCGUAGAGAUCGGAAGGAACACCAGUGGCGAAGGCGGCUACCUGGACAGAUACUGACGCUGAGGCGCGAGAGCGUGGGGAGCAAACAGG
rnacentral:rRNA from 1 species